UACGUAGGGGGCAAGCGUUGUCCGGAUUUAUUGGGCGUAAAGAGCUCGUAGGCGGUCUGUCGCGUCCGUUGUGAAAACUCGAGGCUCAACCUCGGGCUUGCAGUGGAUACGGGCAGACUAGAGUGCGGUAGGGGAGACUGGAAUUCCUGGUGUAGCGGUGGAAUGCGCAGAUAUCAGGAGGAACACCGAUGGCGAAGGCAGGUCUCUGGGCCGCAACUGACGCUGAGGAGCGAAAGCAUGGGGAGCGAACAGG
rnacentral:rRNA from 1 species